rnacentral:rRNA from 1 species
AGAGUUUGAUCCUGGCUCAGAUUGAACGCUGGCGGAAUGCUUUACACAUGCAAGUCGAACGGCAGCACGGGAGCUUGCUCCUGGUGGCGAGUGGCGAACGGGUGAGUAACAUAUCGGAACGUAUCCAAUAAUGGGGGAUAACUAAUCGAAAGGUUGGCUAAUACCGCAUACGCCCUACGGGGGAAAGCAGGGGAUCGUCAGACCUUGCGUUAAUGGAGCGGCCGAUAUCUGAUUAGCUAGUUGGUGGGGUAAAGGCCCACCAAGGCGACGAUCAGUAGCUGGUCUGAGAGGACGACCAGCCACACUGGAACUGAGACACGGUCCAGACUCCUACGGGAGGCAGCAGUGGGGAAUUUUGGACAAUGGGCGCAAGCCUGAUCCAGCCAUUCCGCGUGAGUGAAGAAGGCCUUCGGGUUGUAAAGCUCUUUCGCAAGGGAAGAAAACUUAUCUUCGAAUAAAGGAUGAGGCUGACGGUACCUUGAUAAGAAGCACCGGCUAACUACGUGCCAG